rnacentral:rRNA from 1 species
GGUCAAGCGAAUAAGCGCACACGGUGGAUGCCUUGGCGGUCAGAGGCGAUGAAGGACGUGGCAGCCUGCGAAAAGUAUCGGGGAGCUGGCAACAAGCUUUGAUCCGGUAAUGUCCGAAUGGGGAAACCCACCCGCUUGCGGGUAUCCUGCAGUGAAUACAUAGCUGCUGGAAGCGAACCUGGUGAACUGAAAUAUCUAAGUAACCAGAGGAAAAGAAAUCAACCGAGAUUCCGUAAGUAGCGACGAGCGAACGCGGACUAGCCCUUAAGCUGAUUUGGUUCUAGGAAAACGCUCUGGAAAGAGCGGCCAUAGAAGGUGAUAGCCCUGUAUCUGAAAGGGCCAUUUCAGUGAAGACGAGUAGGGCGGGGCACGUGAAACCCUGUCUGAACAUGGGGGGACCAUCCUCCAAGGCUAAAUACUACUGACCGACCGAUAGUGAACCAGUACCGUGAGGGAAAGGCGAAAAGAACCCCGGAGAGGGGAGUGAAAUAGAACCUGAAACCGUGUGCGUACAAGCAGUAGGAGCUCCGCAAGGAGUGACUGCGUACCUUUUGUAUAAUGGGUCAGCGACUUACUGUUCGUGGCAAGCUUAACCGUAUAGGGGAGGCGAAGGGAAACCGAGUCUGAUAAGGGCGCAUAGUCGCGGGCAGUAGACCCGAAACCGGGUGAUCUAGUCAUGCCCAGGGUGAAGGUGCGGUAACACGCACUGGAGGCCCGAACCCACUCCCGUUGCAAAGGUAGGGGAUGAGGUGUGAUUAGGAGUGAAAAGCUAAUCGAACCCGGAGAUAGCUGGUUCUCCUCGAAAGCUAUUUAGGUAGCGCCUCAUAUGUAUCCUCUCGGGGGUAGAGCACUGUUAUGGCUAGGGGGUCAUCGCGACUUACCAAACCAUUGCAAACUCCGAAUACCGAGACGGACUGUAUGGGAGACACACGGCGGGUGCUAACGUCCGUCGUGAAAAGGGAAACAACCCAGACCCACAGCUAAGGUCCCAAAUUCACUGCUAAGUGGAAAACCAUGUGGAAAGGCACAGACAGCCAGGAGGUUGGCUUAGAAGCAGCCACCCUUUAAAGAAAGCGUAAUAGCUCACUGGUCGAGUCGGUCUGCGGGGAAGAUUUAACGGGGCUAAGCAGUGAACCGAAGCUUGGGGUGCAUAACUUUGUUAUGCGCGGUAGAGGAGCGUUCCGUAAGCCGUUGAAGGUGGAUUGAGAAGUCUGCUGGAGGUAUCGGAAGUGCGAAUGCUGACAUGAGUAACGAUAAUGCGGGUGAAAAACCCGCACGCCGAAAGCCCAAGGUUUCCUUGCGCAACGUUAAUCGGCGCAGGGUGAGUCGGCCCCUAAGGCGAGGACGAAAGUCGUAGUCGAUGGGAAGCAGGUUAAUAUUCCUGCACCUCGCGUAAGUGCGAUGGAGGGACGGAGAAGGUUAGGUGUACCAGGCGUUGGUUGUCCUGGGGAAAGGCGGUAGGUUUGGAUCUUUGGCAAAUCCGGGAUCCUCUAAGACCGAGCACCGAGACGAGCCUUUAUGGCGAAGUCACUGAUACCACGCUUCCAGGAAAAGCUCCUAAGCUUCAGCUUACGCAGACCGUACCGUAAACCGACACAGGUGGGUAGGAUGAGAAUUCUCAGGCGCUUGAGAGAACUCGGGUGAAGGAACUAGGCAACAUGGCACCGUAACUUCGGGAGAAGGUGCACCCUUUUUGGUGGCUCGUGCGAGCUAUAGCUGAAGAGGGUCGCAGUAACCAGGCCGCUGCGACUGUUUAUCAAAAACACAGCACUCUGCAAACACGAAAGUGGACGUAUAGGGUGUGACGCCUGCCCGGUGCUGGAAGGUUAAUUGAUGGGGUCAGCCGCAAGGCGAAGCUCUUGAUCGAAGCCCCAGUAAACGGCGGCCGUAACUAUAACGGUCCUAAGGUAGCGAAAUUCCUUGUCGGGUAAGUUCCGACCUGCACGAAUGGCGUAACGACAGCGGCGCUGUCUCCACCCGAGACUCAGUGAAAUUGAAAUCGCUGUGAAGAUGCAGCGUUCCCGUGGCAAGACGGAAAGACCCCGUGAACCUUUACUAUAGCUUUACACUGAACGUUGAGUUCGUCUGUGUAGGAUAGGUGGGAGGCUAUGAAACCAUGGCGCUAGCUGUGGCGGAGCCAUCCUUGAAAUACCACCCUGUCGUGCUUGACGUUCUAACCUGGGCCCAUUAUCUGGGUCGGGGACCGUGUAUGGUGGGUAGUUUGACUGGGGCGGUCUCCUCCUAAAGAGUAACGGAGGAGCUCGAAGGUACGCUCAGCGCGGUCGGACAUCGCGCACUGUGUGCAAAGGCAUAAGCGUGCUUGACUGCAAGAUCGACGGAUCAAGCAGGUAGGAAACUAGGACUUAGUGAUCCGGUGGUUCUGUAUGGAAGGGCCAUCGCUCAACGGAUAAAAGGUACUCCGGGGAUAACAGGCUGAUACCGCCCAAGAGUUCAUAUCGACGGCGGUGUUUGGCACCUCGAUGUCGGCUCAUCACAUCCUGGGGCUGUAGUCGGUCCCAAGGGUAUGGCUGUUCGCCAUUUAAAGUGGUACGCGAGCUGGGUUCAGAACGUCGUGAGACAGUUCGGUCCCUAUCUGCCAUGGGCGUUGGAGAUUUGAGAGGGGCUGCUCCUAGUACGAGAGGACCGGAGUGGACGAACCUCUGGUGUUCCGGUUGUCACGCCAGUGGCAUUGCCGGGUAGCUAUGUUCGGAAGCGAUAACCGCUGAAAGCAUCUAAGCGGGAAGCGCGCCUCAAGAUGAGAUCUCCCGGGGCACAAGCCCCCUGAAGGAACCAUGUAGACUACGUGGUUGAUAGGUCAGGUGUGUAAGUACAGCAAUGUAUUGAGCUAACUGAUACUAAUGAUCCGAGAGGCUUGACCAU